AUCAGCAACGUCGCGGUGAAUGCGUUCCCGGGCCUUGUACACACCGCCCGUCAAGUCAUGAAAGUGGGCAGCACCCGAAGCCGGUGGCCUAACCCCUUGUGGGAUGGAGCCGUCUAAGGUGAGGCUCGUGAUUGGGACUAAGUCGUAACAAGGUAGCCGUACCGGAAGGUGCGGCUGGAUCACCUCCUUU
rnacentral:rRNA from 1 species